AGUCGAGCGGUUGAAGGAAGCUUGCUUCCUGAUUCAGCGGCGGACGGGUGAGUAAUGCCUAGGAAUCUGCCUGGUAGUGGGGGACAACGUUUCGAAAGGAACGCUAAUACCGCAUACGUCCUACGGGAGAAAGCAGGGGACCUUCGGGCCUUGCGCUAUCAGAUGAGCCUAGGUCGGAUUAGCUAGUUGGUGAGGUAAUGGCUCACCAAGGCGACGAUCCGUAACUGGUCUGAGAGGAUGAUCAGUCACACUGGAACUGAGACACGGUCCAGACUCCUACGGGAGGCAGCAGUGGGGAAUAUUGGACAAUGGGCGAAAGCCUGAUCCAGCCAUGCCGCGUGUGUGAAGAAGGUCUUCGGAUUGUAAAGCACUUUAAGUUGGGAGGAAGGGCAGUAAGCGAAUACCUUGCUGUUUUGACGUUACCGACAGAAUAAGCACCGGCUAACUCUGUGCCAGCAGCCGCGGUAAUACAGAGGGUGCAAGCGUUAAUCGGAAUUACUGGGCGUAAAGCGCGCGUAGGUGGUUUGUUAAGUUGAAUGUGAAAUCCCCGGGCUCAACCUGGGAACUGCAUCCAAAACUGGCAAGCUAGAGUAGGGCAGAGGGUGGUGGAAUUUCCUGUGUAGCGGUGAAAUGCGUAGAUAUAGGAAGGAACACCAGUGGCGAAGGCGACCACCUGGGCUCAUACUGACACUGAGGUGCGAAAGCGUGGGGAGCA
rnacentral:rRNA from 1 species